UACGUAGGUGACAAGCGUUGUCCGGAUUUACUGGGCGUAAAGAGCGCGCAGGCGGUCGAUCAAGUCGAGUGUGAAAGCCCCCGGCUCAACUGGGGAGGGUCAUUCGAUACUGAUCGACUCGAAGGCAGGAGAGGGUAGUGGAAUUCCCGGUGUAGUGGUGAAAUGCGUAGAUAUCAGGAAGAACACCAAUGGCGAAGGCAGCUCUCUGGGACGGUACUGACGCUGAGACGCGAAAGCGUGGGGAGCGAACAGG
rnacentral:rRNA from 1 species